CCUACGGGCGGCAGCAGUGAGGAAUAUUGGUCAAUGGACGAGAGUCUGAACCAGCCAAGUAGCGUGAAGGAUGACUGCCCUAUGGGUUGUAAACUUCUUUUAUAUGGGAAUAAAAUGUUCCACGUGUGGGAUUUUGUAUGUACCAUAUGAAUAAGGAUCGGCUAACUCCGUGCCAGCAGCCGCGGUAAUACGGAGGAUCCGAGCGUUAUCCGGAUUUAUGUGGUUUAAAGGGAGCGUAGGUGGAUUGUUAAGUCAGUUGUGAAAGUUUGCGGCUCAACCGUAAAAUUGCAGUUGAAACUGGCAGUCGUGAGUACAGUAGAGGUGGGCGGAAUUCGUGGUGUAGCGGUGAAAUGCUUAGAUAUCACGAAGAACUCCGAUUGCGAAGGCAGCUCACUGGACUGCAACUGACACUGAGGCUCGAAAGUGUGGGUAUCAAACAGGAUUAGAUACCCCUGUAGUC
rnacentral:rRNA from 1 species